UUUCAGGCAAAGUCACAAGAAUUUUUUGUACAAUUCGCUCAUCAGAAAAAUCCUUACCCAGCAACCUCACCUUGUUUACUAUGCCCAACAACUUGUUAGAAUAGUCUUUGAUGGUUUCUGUCUCCAUUUUUAGCAUUUCAAACUCCCUGAUCAAGUUAAGCACCUGCAUGUUUUUUGUUCUUUCAUUGCCUUGGUAUUCAUUCUUGAGAUAGUCCCAAAUAGCCUUUGCUGACUGUAGAUUCAUAAUUCUUGUAAAUAUGGUGCUUGAAACAGCAGAGAAUAGACAUGCUUUAGUUUUCGACUUCUUUGUCUUCCUCUCUUUGUGAGCCUUCAGUUGUGACAUUGUUGGAUUUGCUGGUAAUGGUGGAACAUCAUCAUCCUUCUCUAUAGCCUCCUAAAGAUCUAAUGCCUCAAGAUGAACUAUCAUUUUAAUAGCCCCAGCUUGACAGUUAUCACCGUCAAAAACUGGUGGAACAACAUGAGAGAAUGUUGUUUCAGCUUCCCUUUUUGAAGGUUUUUGUGUUUUUGGUUUGUAUUUCUGGUCUUUUAAGUUCUAGCUUUGGGUUUUUGUGUUUCUGGGUUUGUGUUUAGAUUCACUCAGCUCACAGAUCUCUCAAGAAGAUGGUUCAGCUCACAGAUCCCUCAAGAAAAAGAGCUCUGAUACCAAUUUGUUGUUAUAAGACACUAGAAAAUUGAAGACCAUAAUAUAUUUUUUUUAUUCACUACAGUGCUCUUUAUAUAGAGCUAACAUUUAACAAAAAAACAAAAAUAUUUCCUAAACACAAGGCAUGACUAACAGCUUCCUAAUUUCUAGCCACAAAGAAACCAGCGUAACAAAUAAAACAGCAUAACAACAUAAAUCAUUCGAAAUAUCCUAAAGACUUGGUCAGUUAACAGCAUAACAAAUAUUCUAGUGACUUGGUCAGCUGACAGCAAGUACAACGUAGGCAUUAUUGUAACACUGCUCAAAGAGAAUAUAAAAGCAUGGAAGAUAUCAACAAUAGAAAAAUGAAAGAAAUGAAGGUUGCAGCUGAGCAAGGAAGAGAUAAAGAUAUGGCCAAAUUAAUUGGGGACGAUCCAUAUAUCGUAGAAAGAUUUGAUCGUGUGCCAUACAUUAAUAAGCCUUUGCACAUAGCAACUAAACAUGGCCAUACCCCUUUUGCCAUGGAGAUGGUGAGCUUCAAACCUUCCUUCUCACCAAGUUAAACCCAGAAGGGUUAUGCCUUUGCUUGUUGCUUGGCAAAAUGGGAGAAAUGAUUUGGCACUUCGACUUUUAGAAGUGGACCACGAUCUAACUCCUUGUAUGGGAAGGAAAAGAAUCGUUUUCCUACAUUAUUUGGCUCAAGAAGGGAACAUCGAUCUCCUGAAAAUGUUCUUAAAAGCUUCUCCGAAAUCAUUCCAAGAUAUGACAACAAGAAGAGAGACGGUUCUUCAUGUUACUUUGAAGAAUGGCAAGCUGGACGCUUUUUACUUCCUUGUUGGAUACCUUCAACGAGUCCAGCAUGAGGGUUCUUCAACACAAGAAACAGAUCUUGAACCAGAAGGACUAUGAAGGCAACACUAUCUUACACAUUGCAAUGCAAAAGACAUUUCAAAGGUGGUCGAACUGCUAGUUGAUUGUGGAGUUGAUAUAAAUUCAAAGAAUACAGAGAAUUUGACUACUCUAGAUAUUUUAGAUGAUAUGCAAGCAGACAAUCCACAAGUCAGAAAAAUGCUUAAUGCUGCUGGAGCAUUGAAAGCUUCCAACUUGACUAUUCCAUACAUUUCACAGCUGAUAGUUUGAAGCGUAUACCCUCUUUCAAGGAGCGUUUGAUAACAUCUAUCAUUCAUUUCAAAAGAGAUAUACCACACGAUACACGCAAUGCAUUGCUGGUGAUCAUCGUGUUGAUACUAACAGUCACUUAUCAAGGUUCACUCACCCCACCAGGAGGAGUUUGGCAGGACAGCAACUCAUUAACAGCACAAGUUCACCAGGCAGGUAAAGUUAUCAUGAGUUAUAUGUCUUUUCUCUUCUUCUGGAUCUUGAACUCCAUAACCCUUUGGACUACCCAAGUUGCUUUUUUCUUCCUCAUUGAUGGCCGUUUUAGCAAACUGCUAUUCAUUCCAGUCUAUCUAUUCUCCCAGUGCUAUACAUUUUCUUUGUCAUUGGUAUCACCAAGUCCUGUCAUCUCCGUAGUUAUCAUAACCGUUUCUGUUGCCUUACCACUGACAGUGUUUAUGCUGGGGUAUUGGUUUUUUGAUAGAGUGGCCAAAACACUUAAAACGGAUGUAAUAAGUUAAUAUUAAGUUAGCGCUUAUUAUUAUUGUUA